rnacentral:tRNA from 2 species
GGGGCUAUGGGGUAGCCUGGUAGCCUACGAGGUUUGGGACUUCGUGACCCCGGUUCAAAUCCGGGUAGCCCCA